AGAGCUCGUAGGCGGUUUGUCGCGUCUGCCGUGAAAGUCCGGGGCUUAACUCCGGAUCUGCGGUGGGUACGGGCAGACUAGAGUGCAGUAGGGGAGACUGGAAUUCCUGGUGUAGCGGUGAAAUGCGCAGAUAUCAGGAGGAACACCGAUGGCGAAGGCAGGUCUCUGGGCUGUAACUGACGCUGAGGAGCGAAAGCAUGGGGAGCGAACAGGAUUAGAUACCCUGGUAGUCCAUGCCGUAAACGUUGGGCACUAAGUGUGGGGGACAUUCCACGUUUUCCGCGCCGUAGCUAACGCAUUAAGUGCCCCGCCUGGGGAGUACGGCCGCAAGGCUAAAACUCAAAGGAAUUGACGGGGGCCCGCACAAGCGGCGGAGCAUGCGGAUUAAUUCGAUGCAACGCGAAGAACCUUACCAAGGCUUGACAUGAACCGGAAUGAUGCAGAGAUGUGUCAGCCACUUGUGGCCGGUUUACAGGUGGUGCAUGGUUGUCGUCAGCUCGUGUCGUGAGAUGUUGGAUUAAGUCCCGCAACGAGCGCAACCCUCGUUCCAUGUUGCCAGCGGGUUAUGCCGGGGACUCAUGGGAGACUGCCGGGGUCAACUCGGAGGAAGGUGGGGACGACGUCAAAUCAUCAUGCCCCUUAUGUCUUGGGCUUCACGCAUGCUACAAUGGCCGGUACAAAGGGUUGCGAUACUGUGAGGUGGAGCUAAUCCCAAAAAGCCGGUCUCAGUUCGGAUUGAGGUCUGCAACUCGACCUCAUGAAGUUGGAGUCGCUAGUAAUCGCAGAUCAGCAACGCUGC
rnacentral:rRNA from 1 species